GCAUCAGUGGUUUAGUGGUAAAAUCCGUCGUUGCCAACGCAUCUUCGACGGGCCCCGUGUUCGAUUCACGGCUGAUGCA